CUAGUCUAUGAAAGGGGAGGAUAGGAGUUCCCUUGACAAAGAUGGAAGAGGCCUUCAGGUCUGACAAUACUCAUAGGGUUAAGGCAUUGCCACCUUCUUAGGGGCAUCUAACCAUCUUUU